rnacentral:rRNA from 1 species
AUGCGUUCAGAAGAUGAUGAAGAUCUUACUACACAUGCUGAAUUCUUUAUCAACAACCUGAAAGAGACAUGGAACCGUCACUACGAAAACUCAAAGGUCCAUAUCAGUCAUUUUCCAAUCGAGUAUGUCGCGACUACGAAGCAAGGAAACCGGCAUGUCUGUGGCUUUCACACGUUGGAAUACCUUGCAAAGUGGGAAGGUCGACGGGUCCCUGUCAUCACGGAUGCAAUGGUCGUCGAGCUCCGUAAAAUAUACACAUGGAACUGGUUGAUGAAUGAAGAUUUCAACAAGCGGGCCAACGCAGGAGAGUUCAUAGAGCACAGUAGUUCAUAA